GGGCAUUCAGAAGGCUUGCUGUCUGGGCUACUCACAGAGAACGUCGUUUCUCCUCACCCGCCCAGGGGAAAGUCCCCGGACCCGUGGCAGAAAGUGCUCUGGGUUAAUCCAGCGUCGGUCUGCGUGCCCAUCAGAGCAAAGACGUUCGUCUCGAACAGAGCUUGAAAACUCAGAUCGACAUUGUCACUGUUCAUAGAAAUGCAAGCGAUGAACAGAACGGGGCUCAUUCUCUGAAUGCA
rnacentral:RNase_MRP_RNA from 1 species